UCUUGACGUAAGUGAAGACGCUAUUUCAAGAAAUUUGAAGUGCUAAUUCAUUAAAAUAUGUACGCUUUCAUGACUGUGCCUCAACUUAAAGUUGAGGUUCGUAAAAGAAAUGCGUCAAUUGCCGGAAAAAAAGGCUAAUUUGAUAGAAAGAUUGCAAUCUAAUGACCGGAAUAAAAAUUUUGGUGUUGACUGCGAGAUCCAAGAGGAGAUCGCAUAUCUGAGUCCAGCCACUGAUACUUUCAGAGACAUAAUUGCGGACACUUCUUUACCAAUGAUUACGAGACAAGCAAUACAGGAAUAUUUUGAAAGUUAUGUACCCAUAUGUAAUGAUUAUAAUCUUAGGCAGUUGUUUACAAAGAUGACAGUGUAAAUUUUAUGUAUUUAAAUUGAUAUAAUACUCAGCAUAAAGGACAACUCCUGUACGAAUUUCGACAUCUUGUGACUGCCCGCUAUUCCACAGAUGGCAUUUAUACCCACUUGCGAGGACAAUGUAAAGCCAGUAUGAAAAAAAUGACAUGUGAACCCGCAAAUCCACAUGGCAUUGAAUGGGAUCGUUACACCUAUGUAGAUAGGACUCCAAUAGAUAUUUUACUAGAGAAGCUAUUAUUAAAAAAAUAUUAUAUCUGAACAAAUUCAGGAAGUGAGAAGAAUACAAGAGCCCAAAGUGAUUCCUCUGAGUGGCAUGAAAGAUCAUGCAGGAUUACUGCCAGUAUGUUUCAUUUAGUGUGCCACAGUAAAGCAUAUAAGUACCAAAAAUAUAUGUAAUCGAUAUGAUUUUGGCCCCUAAAGCUGUGCAGACUAUGUUAGUUGUGCAUAGUAAAAUCCAAGAAACUAUUUCCAUUGCCAAAUAUGAUAGAGAUUAUGGACUAA
rnacentral:misc_RNA from 1 species